UCCUUAAGAUCAGCUGCGAUCUCAUCGUUAGUCACAGUCUCGUCAUGCUGUGUUGAGAUGAGAACAGUGUGGACACGUACAGGAACCAUGGCUCCGCUUUCGUUGAUGUACUCAAUAGUGACUUGAGUCUUACCAUCUGGCCUCAACCAAGGGCAAGUUCCAUUCUUGCGAACUUCAGUGAGUUUAGCUCCAAGCUUAGUAGCGAGAACGUGAGUAAGAGGCAUGAGCUCAGGAGUCUCAUCAGUAGCAUACCCAAACAUGUGACCUUGGUCACCAGCUCCAACCUCCUCUGGCUUCUUGGUGAGAUGACCAUGAACACCUUGUGCAAUGUCAGGACUCUGUUGCUCAAUGUUAACCAGAACCUUGCAAUUGUCAGCAUCUAGACCAACGUCAGCAGAGACGAAUCCAAUCUC